rnacentral:lncRNA from 1 species
AGAGUUUGGCGGACCCACUCUGUAAGGUCUUUGCACGUGAAAUCCUUUAGGAUCUGUUUGGAUGGUUGGACUCAAAAUUUUAUGGGAUUCAUGGCCCAAUCAUAAAAAAUAUUAGAUUAUAAGUAGACUAGGUUUUAUAUUUAUAAGUAUCCAGAAUCAUUUUUGAGUGGGCUGGUCUGGAUCGGAGAAAAAAAUGACAUACC